UUUUUUUUUUUUUUUUAUAAGUAAAAAUAUUAUGGUACUCUUUAUUAAAGUGAGAUGAUCCCAUUUCAAUAAAUACACCAUUUUCCAACCCACCAACCUCUUCUCUACCUUCUCCACUAUCCCAUCCCAAAUAGCUUUAGCCUUAAACUUUGCACCCAACGGAAGACCCAAAUAUUUCAUAGGCAACAAAGACACCUUACAAUCCAAAAAGCUUGCUAAGCUAUUAAUGUUGGGCACCAUGCCCACCGCAACCAUCUCAGACUUACCAAGAUUCAUCCUAAGUCCCGACAUAGCUUCAAAACAUAAUAACAGUGCUCAAAACGAUUGAAUCUGACUAUGGUUCGCUUCACAAAAAAGUAAUGUAUCAUCUGCAAAUAAAAUAUGUGAGAUGAUAAUAGAGUCAUUCGUGCCAUUAGCCACCAAGAACCCAGAUAGGAACCCUCCUCCAACCGCGACCUUCACCAUCUGGCCAAGUGCCUCCAUGACUAUAA